ACCUUGAGCUAUCAGGAAAGCAGUCCAGCUAUUCUGAGCCUCCAUGAUGGAAAUACAACAUGGCAAGAUUACAUGGAGAUAGAGAUGCUUAUAGAGUCAUUAUUGUUCCAGCUUAUAGUUGUUGAAUUUUCCCAGUGCAAGUGCCACAAAUGCUAAAGACCAUGUAAGACGUGUCGCUUCACCUUGGCCUUCCAUCAUGAUUGAAAGUUCCCUGAGGCCUCCCCAGCUAUACUUCCUAUAACAGCCUGCAGAACUAUCAGCCAAUUAAAACUUUUUUUCUUUAUAAAUUA